rnacentral:piRNA from 1 species
UCAGAUAUAAUAUUAAGCGGUCCUGGGA